rnacentral:lncRNA from 1 species
UUUCAUUCAAAGGAGAGAGAGAAAAGAGAAGAUUCAGCAAAUAUAUUAUUGGCACAGUCAGUGAGUAAGGAAAAACCCUUCAAUGAGUUUAAGAUCCCCUCAGGAACACGAAUGUCAUUGGGAACUAAUAGUUGCUAAAGCAGGCCUGUGCAAAACUCGGUGAGAUUUAAAAAGAGCAUCACUCAGUCAGUGGGACACGGCUAUUAAUUCCCAGUGCUCAGGUGUCCAGCUAAAACCCUGCCUGGAACUGAUCAACCACCUCCAAGGAAGCGCCUGAGAGCGUGCUGAUAACAAUUCUGACACCUGGUCAGCAGAAAAAUUGUGACCACAAGAAGGACCCUUAGGUGCUCCUAAGAGAGUGAAGAAAUUUGGAGUGGACAGAAGUGAUUUACUCAUGCACAAGCAGGGAAGUGGAAGGGAAGCUUUAAAGGGGCAAAAUGAAAAAGGUGCCUUCAAGGAGAGAUUUAGAUCUUGUCCCUGAACCAAGUUUAAAGAACAGUCAUAAUGGAGGGUGAGUGGGAUGGGUUUGUUGUGCAUGCAGUGAUUAUUAUCUGAUGGGCUGAGUGUCCUUCUCUAGAGAAACUUUCACAAAAGCUGAGUUGAGUGAAAGGUGGUCGGGAGAGCAGGCAAAGCACGAAAUACCUUUACCACACAUUAACUCUGCAUUUAUGCCUCUUUUUACCUGGAACAUCUGGUUGUGCUUUUUG